rnacentral:rRNA from 1 species
UGGGGAAUAUUGCACAAUGGGCGCAAGCCUGAUGCAGCCAUGCCGCGUGUAUGAAGAAGGCCUUCGGGUUGUAAAGUACUUUCAGCGGGGAGGAAGGCGAUAAGGUUAAUAACCUUGUCGAUUGACGUUACCCGCAGAAGAAGCACCGGCUAACUCCGUGCCAGCAGCCGCGGUAAUACGGAGGGUGCAAGCGUUAAUCGGAAUUACUGGGCGUAAAGCGAACGCAGGCGGUCUGUCAAGUCGGAUGUGAAAUCCCCGGGCUCAACCUGGGAACUGCAUUCGGAACUGGCAGGCUAGAGUCUUGUAGAGGGGGGUAGAAUUCCAGG